rnacentral:rRNA from 1 species
GUGCCGUUGUAUUCUGAAGUUAGGAUUCUCGAAAACGACACCUAAGUUUUCUGGAAAGGAAUGCCACAGAGGGUGAUAGCCCCGUACGGUGUUGACUCGAUACAGAGUCCUAACAUGGAGUCGAGUUGUUUGGGAAUGCAGCUCAAAUGGGUGGUAUGCUCCAUCUAAGGCUAAAUAUUUGCGAGAGACCGAUAGCGAACAAGUACUGUGAAGGAAAGAUGAAAAGAACUUUGAAAAGAGAGUGAAAUAGUACGUGAAAUUGUUGAAAUGGAAGGGUAGGCCGCUAACCAUGUAGGACCGUGUUUGGGGGGAAG